UACAGUGGUCUCAAGCGUUGUUCGGAUUCAUUGGGCGUAAAGGGUGCGUAGGCGGCGCGGUAAGUCGGGUGUGAAAUCUCGGGGCUUAACUCCGAAACUGCAUUCGAUACUGCCGUGCUUGAGGACUGGAGAGGAGACUGGAAUUUACGGUGUAGCGGUGAAAUGCGUAGAUAUCGUAAGGAAGACCAGUGGCGAAGGCGGGUCUCUGGACAGUUCCUGACGCUGAGGCACGAAGGCCAGGGGAGCAAACGGG
rnacentral:rRNA from 1 species